UUAACUAACUGGCCUGGCAUAUCGUUGCCCAUGAAAGGAAGUUAGGCUUGCUAGCAAGCAUUUUAGUCAGGUAGCCUAGGACAACACAACUAAAAGUGUGUACUGUAUGACAGACAUAGACCGUUUGAGCAACAGGAAAGAGUAGAGUGUCAUUGGAGUUUCUCUACAAGUAGGAUGAGAGGGGUUCCUCCUGCCACAGCUCUGUCAUCCAAGGCCAGUUUGAGGGUUCCGUCCUUACAGCCAUCCACAGAUACACCAGCGACCCCUCACAACACCACUCAAUCAUCUACCAUGAGGACAACAUAGGGAACUGGGGAGGAAUUUGUUCAAGACACACGCUGCAGAACUACACCCAGUACCUCCCCCCUCAACAUGUUAAGGUCACCCUGGCCCACGAGUGCCGCUGUCUUGUUGCAGCUCUCUGUGUUAAUUCAUUGUCACGUUCUGACCUUAGUUCCUUUGUUUUGUCUUUGUUUUAGUAUGGUCGGGGCAUGAGUUGGGGUGGGCAGUCUAUGUUAUUU